AACAUUUGUGGAAAAACGCUAUAGAUCUUCCAUUGGAAUCGCAUUCCAUCCGUCGUUAAAAUCACCGGGCUGACCUUCAUCCUUUAAUGGCUUUCAUUGGUUAGGCGAGACGUUACUCCACUCGUACUUCCCUAUCGAAUAGAAAAAUACAAAAUUGAAGAUACAAAUCUCUUGAGUCCAAAAGUACAAAUCAUCAUAUUAAACAAGCCAAAAUUGUUGAUGAAAAAUGUUUGAAUUUGUUGAACAGCACUAUGAAUGAAUAUAUUUACGUAGCCUAUAAAAAGUUUCAGGAAAAAAAAAACAUGCACACACACAUUCACACUAAAAUAAUGCAGCAAAUCCACCCCCUUUCACCAUUUGCUUAAACUCUGCAAAAUUCAUCAUACCAUCACCAUCUACAUCAACCUUUAUGAUCAUAUUCAUAAAUCCUUUGCAGUUCUCCCUUGCUUAAGCACAACUGAAGCCAAGAUCGAUUUCAGUCCAUCAACGGUGAUAAACCCAUCUCCAUUUCAUCAAAUACAUUGACUGCAUCUUGCAUAAAAAAAAUACUUGCAAAAAAAAUAAAAAUUCAAUGAUUUUAACAAAAAAUAUUACUUGGAACGACGAAGGCAGUGAAAGUGACAUGAGAAAAAAAUUGGAAAAAAAAAAUUUAAUUACCUCUAUUUGUUUUCUUCAUGUCAACGGACUGAGCAAAUCACCCUUGCAGGGCCUUUAAUUUCGGAUCAAUUUUGAUUUGGGGUUAGGGUUCAUGCGAUUUGGGAAUCAAAGAUUUG
rnacentral:lncRNA from 1 species